rnacentral:rRNA from 1 species
UACGUAGGGUGCAAGCGUUGUCCGGAAUUAUUGGGCGUAAAGAGCUCGUAGGCGGUUCGUUAAGUCUGUCGUGAAAUCCCCGGGCUCAACCUGGGAAUGGCGAUGGAUACUGGCGAGCUAGAGUGUGUCAGAGGAUGGUGGAAUUCCCGGUGUAGCGGUGAAAUGCGCAGAUAUCAGGAAGAACACCCGUGGCGAAGGCGGCUCUCUGGGACGGUACUGACGCUGAGACGCGAAAGCGUGGGGGAGCAAACAGG